rnacentral:rRNA from 1 species
AUUGAACGCUGGCGGCAGGCUUAACACAUGCAAGUCGAGCGGGGUGAUGGUGCUUGCACUAUCACUUAGCGGCGGACGGGCGAGUAAUGCUUAGGAAUCUGCCUAUUAGUGGGGGACAACAUCUCGAAAGGGAUGCUAAUACCGCAUACGUCCUACGGGAGAAAGCAGGGGAUCACUUGUGACCUUGCGCUAAUAGAUGAGCCUAAGUCGGAUUAGCUAGUUGGUGGGGUAAAGGCCUACCAAGGCGACGAUCUGUAGCGGGUCUGAGAGGAGGAUCCGCCACACUGGGACUGAGACACGGCCCGGACGCCUACGGGAGGCAGCAGUGGGGAAGAUUGGACAAUGGGGGGAACCCUGAUCCAGCCAUGCCGCGUGUGUGAAGAAGGACUUAUGGUUGUAAAGCACUUUAAGCGAGGAGGAGGCUCUUUUGGUUAAUACCCAAGAUGAGUGGACGUUACUCGCAGAAUAAGCACCGGCUAACUCUGUGCCAGCCGCCGCCGUAA